CCUCCAGACUCCUACGGGAGGCAGCAGUGGGGAAUAUUGCACAAUGGGGGGAACCCUGAUGCAGCGACGCCGCGUGAGUGAAGAAGUAUUUCGGUAUGUAAAGCUCUAUCAGCAGGGAAGAAAAUGACGGUACCUGAUUAAGAAGCCCCGGCUAACUACGUGCCAGCAGCCGCGGUAAUACGUAGGGGGCAAGCGUUAUCCGGAUUUACUGGGUGUAAAGGGAGCGUAGACGGCAGCGCAAGUCUGGAGUGAAAUGCCGGGGCCCAACCCCGGAACUGCUUUGAAAAUUGUGCAGCUCGAGUGCAGGAGAGGUAAGCGAAAUUCCUAGUGUGGCGGUAAA
rnacentral:rRNA from 1 species